ACUCCUACGGGAGGCAGCAGUGGGGAAUAUUGGACAAUGGGCGAAAGCCUGAUCCAGCAAUGCCGCGUGAGUGAUGAAGGCCUUAGGGUUGUAAAGCUCUUUUACCCGGGAUGAUAAUGACAGUACCGGGAGAAUAAGCUCCGGCUAACUCCGUGCCAGCAGCCGCGGUAAUACGGAGGGAGCUAGCGUUAUUCGGAAUUACUGGGCGUAAAGCGCACGUAGGCGGCUUUGUAAGUUAGAGGUGAAAGCCUGGAGCUCAACUCCAGAAUUGCCUUUAAGACUGCAUCGCUUGAAUCCAGGAGAGGUGAGUGGAAUUCCGAGUGUAGAGGUGAAAUUCGUAGAUAUUCGAAGAACACCAGUGCGAAGGCGGCUCACUGGACUGGUAUUGACGCUGAGGU
rnacentral:rRNA from 1 species